rnacentral:rRNA from 1 species
UGAGGAAUAUUGGUCAAUGGGGGGAACCCUGAACCAGCCAUCCCGCGUGCAGGAAGACAGUUCUAUGGAUUGUAAACUGCUUUUCUUGGGGAAGAAUAAUGACGACGUGUCGUCAGAUGACGGUACCCGAGGAAUAAGCAUCGGCUAACUCCGUGCCAGCAGCCGCGGUAAUACGGAGGAUGCAAGCGUUAUCCGGAUUUAUUAGGUUUAAAGGGUGUGUAGGCGGAUGUAUAAGUCAGUGGUGAAAGUCAGCAGCUUAACUGUAGAAUUACCAUUGAUACUGUAUGUCUUGAGUGUGGUUGAGGUUUGCGGAAUGUGUAAUGUAGCGGUGAAAUGCAUAGAUAUUACACAGAACACCGAUUGCGAAGGCAGCAUGCUAAGCCACAACUGACGCUGAUGCACGAAAGCGUGGGGAUCAAACAG